UACGUAGGGGGCAAGCGUUGUCCGGAUUUAUUGGGCGUAAAGAGCGUGUAGGCGGCCACACAGGUCAGCUGUGAAAACUCGAGGCUCAACCUCGAGACGUCGGUUGAAACCGUAUGGCUAGAGUCCGGAAGAGGAGAGUGGAAUUCCCGGUGUAGCGGUGAAAUGCGCAGAUAUCGGGAAGAACACCGGUGGCGAAGGCGGCCACCUGGGCCGGAACUGACGCUGAGGCGCGAAAGCGUGGGGAGCAAACGGG
rnacentral:rRNA from 1 species